rnacentral:rRNA from 1 species
UAGGGAAUCUUCCACAAUGGGCGCAAGCCUGAUGGAGCAACACCGCGUGAGUGAAGAAGGGUUUCGGCUCGUAAAGCUCUGUUGUUAAAGAAGAACACGUAUGAGAGUAACUGUUCAUACGUUGACGGUAUUUAACCAGAAAGUCACGGCUAACUACGUGCCAGCAGCCGCGGUAAUACGUAGGUGGCAAGCGUUAUCCGGAUUUAUUGGGCGUAAAGAGAGUGCAGGCGGUUUUCUAAGUCUGAUGUGAAAGCCUUCGGCUUAACCGGAGAAGUGCAUCGGAAACUGGAUAACUUGAGUGCAGAAGAGGGUAGUGGAACUCCAUGUGUAGCGGUGGAAUGCGUAGAUAUAUGGAAGAACACCAGUGGCGAAGGCGGCUACCUGGUCUGCAACUGACGCUGAGACUCGAAAGCAUGGGUAGCGAACAGGAUUAGAUACCCUGGUAGUCCAUGCCGUAAACGAUGAGUGCUAGGUGUUGGAGGGUUUCCGCCCUUCAGUGCCGGAGCUAACGCAUUAAGCACUCCGCCUGGGGGAGUACGACCGCAAGGUUGAAAC